rnacentral:rRNA from 1 species
GACGAACGCUGGCGGCGUGCUUAACACAUGCAAGUCGAACGGAAAGGCCCUGCUUGCCGGGUGCUCGAGUGGCGAACGGGUGAGUAACACGUGGGUGAUCUGCCCCUUACUUUGGGAUAAGCCUGGGAAACUGGGUCUAAUACUGGAUAGGACCAUGCUGUAGGUGGUGUGGUGGAAAGAUUAGUUUCGGUAAGGGAUGAGCUCGCGGCCUAUCAGCUUGUUGGUGGGGUAAUGGCCUACCAAGGCGUCGACGGGUAGCCGGCCUGAGAGGGUGGACGGCCACAUUGGGACUGAGAUACGGCCCAGACUCCUGCGGGAGGCAGCAGUGGGGAAUAUUGCACAAUGGGCGCAAGCCUGAUGCAGCGACGCCGCGUGGGGGAUGACGGCCUUCGGGUUGUAAACUCCUUUCGGCCAUGACGAAGCCCUUGUGGUGACGGUAGUGGUAGAAGAAGCACCGGCUAACUACGUG